UACGAAGGGGGCUAGCGUUGCUCGGAAUCACUGGGCGUAAAGCGCACGUAGGCGGAUUGUUAAGUCGGGGGUGAAAUCCUGGAGCUCAACUCCGGAACUGCCUUCGAUACUGGCGAUCUUGAGUCCGGGAGAGGUGAGUGGAACUCCGAGUGUAGAGGUGAAAUUCGUAGAUAUUCGGAAGAACACCAGUGGCGAAGGCGGCUCACUGGCCCGGUACUGACGCUGAGGUGCGAAAGCGUGGGGAGCAAACAGG
rnacentral:rRNA from 1 species